AAUUCGAGUGCCAUCUAAAUCAAAUAUAAUAAUCAUUUUCCAAUCUUGAAAGUCUCUUACUUUCUAAUUUGUUGCUUUAGAUAACAAAUCCUUCAGAGUCCAAAUAAAAAAAAAAGGGUAUAUAGUGUUAAACUUCCUGGAAAAAAAGGUUAUAAUUUUGUCUAUGCGUGUGUGGCCUGGAAAAUUGGCUUUCCAAUCUGGAAUUUCAUCAUCUACUGGUCAGGCUUUCCUCUGAAUGCAAAAGUCACUUCUGAAGUUGCAUGUGCAGAAAGAGCAAUCUACAAAUAAAGGAAAGAGAGGAACAGAGAGGAAAUUGCAGAAACGAUCAAUGUGAAGGGCCAAGCAGAAGAAGAAAGAGUUGUGGAUGAAUCUCCAGUGAAAAUGUUUGACAACCAUGAACUGUUGAGCCCAUCUCCCGACCCUGCUUCUGACCUAUUUGUGCUUGGAGUUUGAGACGUGUCUCUAGCAGAUUUUUGACUUGUUAAUGAAGGGCAAAAUGUGAUCGCGUAAUCGGCUCCAGUACAUGUAAAUGUGCUCGUUGCAUCAUCAUAGGCAUAACUAUAAGAUCUCGGACAAGCAGCUUUAAACAUCUGCGAAUAUACAGAUGGCUUGCACGUGUCUGGUGUACCAUAUGCCCCGCUACAACAGUACUCGGGGUUUCCGAAAGCCUCACAAGCACUCUUACAAGCCUCACCAGACCCCACUCGGAGCUCUGCAGGGCACUGCUGAUUCAAAUCGGUUAUACAUCCAGUUGACAAGCAACUACCCACCCCGCCACUGGGUUCUACAAUCAUUGGUAAGUUAUACCCAUCAACUAAGCUAACAUCGUAAAAGUCUUGGCUGCCGGACACUAUUGUGAAUUCUGCUAGAGUAGUUGGUGGGUUCGCAUUAUUACCGUUGCAUUCAAUUUGGUUGGUGCUACAAUCACCCGUUAGACAGCUUCCUUGACCAGUAACUGGAUCGAACGUGCAACCGGAUCUUCCCCAGAAUCGACCCGACCAAUUUGGUGGUGAUUGAAAUGAACGAGACGCACCGGGUGGAAGCUCAAACCCGGUGCUGUCCAUUGCAGGGCUUCCAGCAUUGGCAAGAAUACCAGGCCACACUGUGUGGCCACAUCUGUUGAUUACUGUAAAUCCAGCCCCUGAAACUCCUUCAAUAUUAAAGGAACUAAAGAUUGUAAGCAAGGUGAGGGUGACAUAUAUAGCAGAAUUGGAGAAGAUUGGAUCCAUUUGGAGGGACUUCAGGUCAAAGAAAAUGAUAUAUGUGUAUAUAUAUAUAUAUGUAGGUUAUGGGUGUGAAUAAGGAUUUGAAGUGUUCUUCCAAUGAGAGAAACUAAGGCUGCAUUGGCCAGACAAAGAAGAAGAGUGAAAAUAAGAAAAGGCUUCUUGGGUUGAUUGAUGUUGGUGAGGAAAGACGAAUGGAGAUAGGAUAGGGAAAGUAGAGAAAUUACUAUAGUUUAGUAAGAGAGGAUCAGAAAUGGAAAUGGGAGGAGAAGAUUUUGAUUGGGAUUUAUAAAAUUCAAUGUUGGAAGUUGGAAU
rnacentral:misc_RNA from 1 species